rnacentral:rRNA from 1 species
GACGAACGCUGGCAGCGUGCCUAAUACAUGCAAGUCGAGCGGACAGAAGGGAGCUUGCUCCCGGAAGUUAGCGGCGGACGGGUGAGUAACACGUGGGCAACCUACCCUGUAGAUCGGGAUAACAUCGAGAAGUCGGUGCUAAUACCGGAUAAUCAUUUGAAGUGCAUGCUUCGAAUGUAAAAGAUGGCUCCGGCUAUCACUACGGGAUGGGCCCGCGGCGCAUUAGCUAGUUGGUAAGGUAAUGGCUUACCAAGGCAACGAUGCGUAGCCGACCUGAGAGGGUGAUCGGCCACACUGGGACUGAGACACGGCCCAGACUCCUACGGGAGGCAGCAGUAGGGAAUCUUCCGCAAUGGACGAAAGUCUGACGGAGCAACGCCGCGUGAGUGAUGAAGGUUUUCGGAUCGUAAAGCUCUGUUGUUAGGGAAGAACAAGUGCCGUUUGAAUAAGGCGGCACCUUGACGGUACCUAACCAGAAAGCCACGGCUAACUACGUGCCAGCCGCCGCCGUAAGAC